UCUCCAUCCUCAGGUGCACACUCAGAUCUCCUCCAUCCUCAGGCGCACACUCUGGUCUCCUCCAUCCUCAGGUGCACACUCAGGUCUCCCCCAUCCUCAGUGCACACUCAGGUCUCCUCCAUCCUCAGUGCACACUCAGGUCUCCUCCAUCCUCAGUGCACACUCAGGUCUCCUCCAUCCUCAGUGCACACUCAGGCUUCUCCAUCCUCAGGCACACACUCAGGCUUCUCCAUCCUCAGGUGCACACUCAGAUCUCCUCCAUCCUCAGGCGCACACUCUGGUCUCCUCCAUCCUCAGGUGCACACUCAGGUCUCCCCCAUCCUCAGUGCACACUCAGGUCUCCUCCAUCCUCAGUGCACACUCAGGUCUCCUCCAUCCUCAGUGCACACUCAGGUCUCCUCCAUCCUCAGUGCACACUCAGGCUUCUCCAUCCUCAGGCACACACUCAGGCUUCUCCAUCCUCAGGUGCACACUCAGAUCUCCUCCAUCCUCAGGCGCACACUCUGGUCUCCUCCAUCCUCAGUGCACACUCAGGUCUCCUCCAUCCUCAGUGCACACUCAGGUCUCCUCCAUCCUCAGGUGCACACUCAGGCUUCUCCAUCCUCAGGCGCACACUCUGGUCUCCUCCAUCCUCAGGUGCACACUCAGGUCUCCUCUAUCCUCAGGCACACACUCAGGUCUCCUGCAUCCUCAGUGCACACUCAGGUCUUCUCCAUCCUCGGUGCAUGCUCAGGUGUCCUCCAUCCUCAGGUGCACACUCAGGUCUUCUCCAUUUUAAGUGCACACACUCAGAUAUUUGUGUCUGUGUUUCCCUGAUGAUCAGUGGUGGUGAACAUCUCUGCAUGCGCUUAUCAGCCACGGGUGAUACCUUAUAUUUUGACGAGGGGUUGAUGGUAGUUAGCCUCAUAGAUGGGCGUUUGAACUUUGUGGUCAAGCAACUCCGCUGCUGUGUUUCUGCACUGAGUGGCUUGUUACUGUCUCCUCGUUACAUAUUGACCAGCUGUCAGUCUGGUGCCUGGAGCUUUGCACCUGUGAGCUCAUCCGAUUCUCA
rnacentral:lncRNA from 1 species